GGGGGAGUAGCUCAGCGGGAGAGCACUACGCUGAAGACGUAGGUGUCCGGGGUUCGACUCCCCGCUUCCCCA
rnacentral:tRNA from 1 species